AUGGCCUCCAAGACCGAGUGCGAGUGCGAGUGCGAGUGCGGCGGCGACAUCUCCGCCUCCCAGGAGGACGCCCUCGCCGCCUCCCCAUUCCUCGGCGCCGCCCCUCUCGAUCUGUCCCAGCAGCAGCGGGAGGAGGAGGAGGUGGAGGACAUGGUCACCAUGUGUACCCUCCCCUCCACGCCUUCCCGUUCGCCGUCGCCCGCGCCUCCCCCAGACCCCUUCCUGGGCGCCGACGACAACGACGAGGAGGUCUUGUCCGAUCUCCCCCAGCAGCAGCAGCAGCAGGAGGAGGAGGAGGACGCCGUCACCAUGUGCACCCUCCCCUCCACCCCUUCCCCCACCAGGUCGCCGUCGCCACCGCCUCCUUCCCCGCAACCUCGCCGGAAGCCGAGGGUGUGCGUCAGGAAGGUCAGGGUCAGGGGCGCCAAGAUCCGCACCCCGACACCCAGCCCCGACCUACCGCCGGCAGUGGAGCCACAGCCACAGCCAGCCCAACCGACAGCGCCGGAGCAAGCAGAGCAGCAGCCCCAUGCGGAUGCGGAUCCCCUCUACAGGGCGGUGCAAAUGGUGGGCGCCCUCACCGACGCCACCGCCACAGCCAGGAGCAGCAGCAGCAGCAAUGAGAAUGCCGUCGAGGACUUGCUCGCGCUCGCCCGCCGUCGCGGCCUCCUCUAG
rnacentral:rRNA from 1 species